rnacentral:rRNA from 1 species
CCUACGGGUGGCAGCAGUGGGGAAUAUUGCACAAUGGGGGGAACCCUGAUGCAGCGACGCCGCGUGAGUGAGGAAGUACUUCGGUAUGUAAAGCUCUAUCAGCAGGGAAGAAAAUGACGGUACCUGAGUAAGAAGCCCCGGCUAACUACGUGCCAGCAGCCGCGGUAAUACGUAGGGGGCAAGCGUUAUCCGGAUUUACUGGGUGUAAAGGGAGCGUAGACGGGAGGGCAAGUCUGGAGUGAAAGGCGGGGGCUCAACCCCCGGAGUGCUCUGGAAACUGUACGGCUGGAGUGCAGGAGAGGUAAGUGGAAUGCGUGGUGUAGCGGUGAAAUGCGUAGAUAUCAGGAGGAACACCAGUGGCGAAGGCGGCUUACCGGACUGCAACUGACGUUGAGGCUCGAAAGCGUGGGUAGCAAACAGGAUUAGAUACCCUGGUAGUC